rnacentral:rRNA from 1 species
UACGUAGGGUGCAAGCGUUGUCCGGAAUCAUUGGGCGUAAAGAGCGUGUAGGCGGCUCGAUCAGUCCGCUGUGAAAGUCCAGGGCUCAACCCUGGAAAGCCGGUGGAUACUGUCGGGCUAGAGUACGGAAGAGGCGAGUGGAAUUCUGGUGUAGCGGUGAAAUGCGCAGAUAUCAGGAGGAACACCAAUGGCGAAGGCAGCUCGCUGGGACGAUACUGACGCUGAGACGCGAAGCGUGGGGAGCAAACAGGAUAGAAACCCCUGUA